rnacentral:tRNA from 1 species
GGGGAUGUAGCUCAGUGAUACAGUGCGUGCUUCGCACGUAUGAGGUUCCGGGUUCAAUUCCUGACAUCUCAG